UGAGCAGCUCCCCAGGAAGCUCGGCUUGGGUCCGGUUCUCGCCUUUACUUUAGGGACAGCUGCAGGAAGGAGGGGAACGGGGUGUUCUCUCUGCAGCCCUUUUCCCUCACUCCCACCCCGGUCCCCAGGGUCCCUGGCUUGCCGCCUUGUGAAGGGUGCACCAGGGAAGCCUCGGGCCUCUCGCCCAUGCAGCCCGGCCUCUCGCGAGAUCUAGUUAGGCCGCUCCUCGCCGCGCCUCCUGGCAAGGUGUCUCCAGGCCUUCCAUGGCCUCCCCGCUCCCCACUUCCCGCCCGACCCCAGGUGGACUGUUCGAAACCACAGGACCCUCUGUAUCUCCAGGACUUUGUUACGGGGGAAGGAGCGAGUGUCUGCAGGUGUCCGUGACAGGCGAGGGGGCCCGCAGCGGCGGCGUGGAGCCUACAGCUCAGGGGGGAAGGAUGAAGCUGACUGGCCGAGCAUCCUGCUUGCUGACGCACCGGUGGAUUUUUGCUUCUGGCCAUUAUUCCGGCUCCUGGACUCAAGUCCAACAAGAAGCCUCUCAUCAACAGCAGUCCUGCUGCCCAGCAGACCUCUUCCAGAGCCUUCCGGAUAUGGUUAACCCCUGUCAAGCAAGGGGCUUUUUGAGCUCAGAGGCAGAGGCACUCAGCUGGGACAUCAGGAAUUCAUGGGCAUGGCUGGCAGCUGCUGCGUGCAUUUGAGCUGUAGACAGAGGUGUUGAGAACACAGAGAGCUGAAAUGUAGACUCAUUAAAGUUACUAUGGAGAACUGCUCAAAAAUUUAUUUGAUAGCCUUUCCUUAGGUCUAAGUGCAACUGCAUAUUAUGCUAAAGUAUGUUCUUUCCUUUCUCACACGAGGGGGUUCCCUUGUAGGUCCAAGAGCAUGUUGUCUAUCUUCAUCUAUGAAGUAGUCACUUUAUCACUGUCUUUAGAGAUUGCACAAUCUGGGGUUGUGUGAUUUCCCAUGUCUCACUCUCUAGAAGGAAGUUGUCAUUUGAGUUUUUAAGAUUUAUCAUAUGUUCCCCACUCCAUACCCCUUGUGCUCCAGCUUCUCAUUUAAAGAAAGAAACAGUUAUAUAGUCCUCAUUCUUUCUGAAUAGCUGAAUUAUAAAUUAUUGAAAUAAGAUGGCUACACUUAUCUUACUUGUUAUUUGGGAAAAAUCUCUCUCUUACCCUCAAAUAAAUGUUUUUUAUAUGGUCAUAUGUUCCUUUUCUUAAAAGCAAAACAAAACAAAAAACUUUCAACAUAUUUCUCCAAGUAGGUUGAAGAAACCAUGUAUUUGAGGCUCCAGAGUAGACUUGGGCCCCAAAUCUGUGGUAUCUAUUCCUUUGAAAAGUCUGUCUUGAUUGUUCUACAUUGAUUUUUAUUUCUAGCUUAAAAAUAAACAAGGAGAAAGAUUAACUUAAUAGUUUUUAUUUAUAACAUUGUGUUCAAUUUCCAUGUUUUAAAAAGAAAGAAAAUUGAGGCAGUAUAUGUCAAACUUAAGUUGGAAAACUUUCAUUUUAAAAUACUGGCCAAGAAAAAAUACUGUUCUAGGAGCUUGUCUAGGCAACAAAUUAUGUGGCCUUCAAUAAGUGAUUUAACAUUCAGGGCUUCAGUUUAUUCUGACAAAUGUAAUGGUUGGACUAGAAAAUUGUUAAUGUCUCUUUCCAUUUCAAAAUUCUAUAAUUCUAGGAUGAAAACUACAUCUUUGAAAACAGAAUUCCCAGGAACAAACUCUUUAACAGUUUACCAGUAGUCCACUUUUCUGCUCUCCCCAAAUGACACUGUAUAAUGAAAACUCAACUUCAAAGUCUUUUUGGGUACCAACCACCACAUUGUGAGGAGAAAAUGAAAAUAUUUAUUUACCCCAAACAUAUAUCAGUGAUCAUUUGUCUAAGCUGCUUAGGGAAUAUUAACAAGUACAAUACUACAUGGUGGUAUAUAACAAAAAGGAGUAAUCUGACAGAUACACUAAUGCAAGAAGCAUGGCUCUGAACAUUAAUACAUUCAGGGAUGAUCUUCUGUUUUCUGUGGAGUCCGUGACGUAACAUUUCCCACUGAAACAUUCCUCUUAACUCUUUGGUAUAACUUGUGUUUCAAACUAAAAUUUUGUACUUCAGGUCAAGAGAGCAGCUCUAUGUCCUUACCUAGGUAAUUAGGGCAAGUGUCAGUAUUUUGGAGGGAUCCAAGUUACACAGUUAAUUAUGGUGGUGUAGAUCUUUGUGGUAUAGU